rnacentral:rRNA from 1 species
CGGGGUUGGGUCUAACACAUGCAGUCGAGCGGAUGAUGGGAUCUUGCUCUCUGAUUCCCGGCGGACGGGUGAUUAAUGCCUAUGAAUCUGCCUGGUAGUGGGGGACUCGUCUCGAAUGGGACGCUAAUACCGCAUACGUCCUACGGGAGAAAGCAGGGGACCUUCGGGCCUUGCGCUAUCAGAUGAGCCUAGGUCGGAUUAUCUAUUUGGUGAGGUAAUGGCUCACCAAGGCUGCGAUCCGUAACUGGUCUGAGAGGAUGAUCAGUCACACUGGAACUGAGACACGGUCCACACCCCUACGGGAGGCGGUUGGGGGGAAUAUUGGACAGUGGGCGAAACCCUGAUCCACCCAUGCCGCGUGUGUGAAGAAGGUCUUCUGAUUGUAAAGCUCUUUAAUUUGGGAGGAAGGGCAGUAAAUUAAUACCUUGCUGUUUUGAUGUUACCGACAAAAAAGGCACCGGCUAUUUUCGUGAAAUUUCCCGCGGUUAUACGAAGGGUGCAGGCUUUACUCGGAUUUACUGGGGAAAAAAACGCGCCCAGGUGUUUUUUGUUAGGCCCCAAAUAAAAACCCCCGGGUUUAACCCUGGGGGGCCGUUUUUCAAAAGGGGGGAAGCUAAAGUAGGGGAAAAGGGGGCGGGAAAUUCCCUGGGGGGCCCCCGAAAGUGUUUUACAAUUUUUUUUAGAACCCCUUUGGCCAAGGGCAACCUCCCGGGGGUAAACCCCCCCACUUUUUGUGCACAAAAGUGGGGGGUACUCCCCCCGGGGGGGUACCCUUGGGAAAUCCGGGGGUUUAUAAAAAUUAUUCAAAAAAUUUUUGGGGUUUUUGAGGAAAUUUUCUGGCCCCCCCCUAACCACAUUUUUUUCUCCCCCCCUUUGUGAGAAAACACCCCCCCCCCGGUGUGAAAACCCCGGGUGUUUUUUUUUUGGGGGGGUCACAACAAACACGGUGGGAGCGGGGGGGGGGUCCCUCUAAAACCACACAAAAAAACUCUUCACCCCGCCCUCAAUAUCACGGAGGAAGUUUUUCAUAAAAAAUAUGAGGGGUGGUUCUUUUUCUCACUACGACACUACAACAAAAAAACCCGGGGGGGGUAUUUCUAUGCUCAGGUGGUUUGUAGAUUGCAUAGGUGUGUAUGUUUUUUUCAACAAAAAAAAACACCUCUUUCCUUCUCUUACUCUAUCAUUGCCCUAGUGAGGGGUGGUGGUGCGCGUCUCCUCCGCGAAUCACAGAAAAGUAUUCACCCAGCACUGCGGAACGAAGUAGAAGAGAGAGUAGAAGUAAUAAAUUCUUCUUGCACUCCUUCGCCGAGUGCGUGUGAAUUCUCUACAUCUGCACUUCUAACUAG